rnacentral:rRNA from 1 species
UUAAGCGACUAAGCGUACACGGUGGAUGCCCUGGCAGUCAGAGGCGAUGAAGGACGUGCUAAUCUGCGAAAAGCGUCGGUAAGGUGAUAUGAACCGUUACAGCCGGCGAUGUCCGAAUGGGGAAACCCAGUGCAAUUCGUUGCACUAUCGUUAACUGAAUACAUAGGUUAGCGAGGCGAACCGGGGGAACUGAAACAUCUAAGUACCCCGAGGAAAAGAAAUCAACCGAGAUUCCCCCAGUAGCGGCGAGCGAACGGGGAGCAGCCCAGAGUCUGAAUCAGCUUGUGUGUUAGUGGAACGGUCUGGAAAGUCCGACGGUACAGGGUGAUAGUCCCGUACACCAAAAUGCACAGGUUGUGAACUCGAAGAGUAGGGCGGGACACGUGGUAUCCUGUCUGAAUAUGGGGGGACCAUCCUCCAAGGCUAAAUACUCCUGACUGACCGAUAGUGAACCAGUACCGUGAGGGAAAGGCGAAAAGAACCCCGGCGAGGGGAGUGAAAAAGAACCUGAAACCGUGUACGUACAAGCAGUGGGAGCACCUUCGGGUGUGACUGCGUACCUUUUGUAUAAUGGGUCAGCGACUUAUAUUCUGUAGCAAGGUUAACCGUAUAGGGGAGCCGCAGGGAAACCGAGUCUUAACUGGGCGUUAAGUUGCAGGGUAUAGACCCGAAACCCGGUGAUCUAGCCAUGGGCAGGUUGAAGGUUGGGUAACACUAACUGGAGGACCGAACCGACUAAUGUUGAAAAAUUAGCGGAUGACUUGUGGCUGGGGGUGAAAGGCCAAUCAAACCGGGAGAUAGCUGGUUCUCCCCGAAAGCUAUUUAGGUAGCGCCUCGUGAACUCAUCUUCGGGGGUAGAGCACUGUUUCGGCUAGGGGGUCAUCCCGACUUACCAACCCGAUGCAAACUACGAAUACCGAAGAAUGUUAUCACGGGAGACACACGGCGGGUGCUAACGUCCGUCGUGAAGAGGGAAACAACCCAGACCGCCAGCUAAGGUCCCAAAGUCAUGGUUAAGUGGGAAACGAUGUGGGAAGGCACAGACAGCCAGGAUGUUGGCUUAGAAGCAGCCAUCAUUUAAAGAAAGCGUAAUAGCUCACUGGUCGAGUCGGCCUGCGCGGAAGAUGUAACGGGGCUAAACCAUGCACCGAAGCUGCGGCAGCGACACUAUGUGUUGUUGGGUAGGGGAGCGUUCUGUAAGCCUGCGAAGGUGACCUGUGAGGGUUGCUGGAGGUAUCAGAAGUGCGAAUGCUGACAUAAGUAACGAUAAAGCGGGUGAAAAGCCCGCUCGCCGGAAGACCAAGGGUUCCUGUCCAACGUUAAUCGGGGCAGGGUGAGUCGACCCCUAAGGCGAGGCCGAAAGGCGUAGUCGAUGGGAAACAGGUUAAUAUUCCUGUACUUGGUGUUACUGCGAAGGGGGGACGGAGAAGGCUAUGUUAGCCGGGCGACGGUUGUCCCGGUUUAAGCAUGUAGGCUGGUUGUCCAGGCAAAUCCGGAUAAUCAAGGCUGAGGUGUGAUGACGAGGCACUACGGUGCUGAAGUAACAAAUGCCCUGCUUCCAGGAAAAGCCUCUAAGCAUCAGGUAACAUUAAAUCGUACCCCAAACCGACACAGGUGGUCAGGUAGAGAAUACCAAGGCGCUUGAGAGAACUCGGGUGAAGGAACUAGGCAAAAUGGUGCCGUAACUUCGGGAGAAGGCACGCUGGUGUGUAGGUGAAGCCCCUGCGGGUGGAGCUGAGACCAGUCGAAGAUACCAGCUGGCUGCAACUGUUUAUUAAAAACACAGCACUGUGCAAACACGAAAGUGGACGUAUACGGUGUGACGCCUGCCCGGUGCCGGAAGGUUAAUUGAUGGGGUUAUCCGUAAGGAGAAGCUCUUGAUCGAAGCCCCGGUAAACGGCGGCCGUAACUAUAACGGUCCUAAGGUAGCGAAAUUCCUUGUCGGGUAAGUUCCGACCUGCACGAAUGGCGUAAUGAUGGCCAGGCUGUCUCCACCCGAGACUCAGUGAAAUUGAACUCGCUGUGAAGAUGCAGUGUACCCGCGGCAAGACGGAAAGACCCCGUGAACCUUUACUAUAGCUUGACACUGAACAUUGAGCCUUGAUGUGUAGGAUAGGUGGGAGGCUUUGAAGCGUGGACGCCAGUCUGCGUGGAGCCAACCUUGAAAUACCACCCUUUAAUGUUUGAUGUUCUAACGUUGGCCCCUUACCGGGGUUGCGGACAGUGUCUGGUGGGUAGUUUGACUGGGGCGGUCUCCUCCCAAAGCGUAACGGAGGAGCACGAAGGUUAGCUAAUCCUGGUCGGACAUCAGGAGGUUAGUGCAAUGGCAUAAGCUAGCUUGACUGCGAGCGUGACGGCGCGAGCAGGUGCGAAAGCAGGUCAUAGUGAUCCGGUGGUUCUGAAUGGAAGGGCCAUCGCUCAACGGAUAAAAGGUACUCCGGGGAUAACAGGCUGAUACCGCCCAAGAGUUCAUAUCGACGGCGGUGUUUGGCACCUCGAUGUCGGCUCAUCACAUCCUGGGGCUGAAGUAGGUCCCAAGGGUAUGGCUGUUCGCCAUUUAAAGUGGUACGCGAGCUGGGUUUAGAACGUCGUGAGACAGUUCGGUCCCUAUCUGCCGUGGGCGCUGGAGAAUUGAGGGGGGCUGCUCCUAGUACGAGAGGACCGGAGUGGACGCAUCACUGGUGUUCGGGUUGUCAUGCCAAUGGCACUGCCCGGUAGCUAAAUGCGGAAGAGAUAAGUGCUGAAAGCAUCUAAGCACGAAACUUGCCCCGAGAUGAGUUCUCCCUGAGACUUUAAGUCUCCUGAAGGAACGUUGAAGACGACGACGUUGAUAGGCCGGGUGUGUAAGCGCAGCGAUGCGUUGAGCUAACCGGUACUAAUGAACCGUGAGGCUUAACCUU